UUCGCAAUGCCCGAAAGGGUGACGAAGCGACGCCGCGUGUGGGAAGAAGGCCUUCGGGUUGUAAACCACUGUCGGGAGUUAAGAAAUGCAAGGAUAUUAAUAGUGUCUUUGUUUGACUAAGGCUCCGGAGGAAGCCACGGCUAACUCUGUGCCAGCAGCCGCGGUAAUACAGAGGCGGCAAGCGUUGUUCGGAAUUAUUGGGCGUAAAGAGCACGUAGGCGGCUAUGUAAGUCGGUUGUGAAAGCCUUCCGCUCAACGGAAGAACAGCAUGCGAUACUACAUGGCUUGAGUGCGGGAGGGGAGAGUGGAACUUCUGGUGGAGCGGUGAAAUGCGUAGAUAUCAGAAGGAACGCCGGCGGCGAAAGCGGCUCUCUGGCCCAUAACUGACGCUGAGUGUGCGAAAGCUAGGGGAGCAAACGGGAUUAGAUACCCCGGUAGUCCUAGCCGUAAACGAUGGGCACUAAGUAGAGGGGUUUU
rnacentral:rRNA from 1 species